rnacentral:rRNA from 1 species
CCCGCACAAGCGGUGAGUAUGUGUUUAAUUCGAUGAUACGCGAGGACCUUACCUGGGCUCGAACGUAAGAUGACUGUAGGUGAAAGCUUACAUCUCUUUCGGAGCAUUUUUACGAGGUGCUGCAUGGUUGUCGUCAGCUCGUGCCGUGAGGUGUCGGGUUAAGUCCCAUAACGAGCGCAACCCCUACCUUUAGUUGCCAUCAGGUAAUGCUGGGGACUCUAAAGGAACUGCCUACGCAAGUAGUGAGGAAGCGGGGAUGACGUCAAAUCAGCACGGCCCUUACGUCCAGGGCUACACACGUGCUACAAUGGCCGAUACAGAGGGCAGCUACCUGGUGACAGGAUGCAAAUCUCCAAAGUCGGUCUCAGUUCGGAUCGGAGUCUGCAACCCGACUCCGUGAAGUCGGAAUCGCUAGUAAUCGUGAAUCAGAAUGUCACGGUGAAUACGUUCCCGGGCCUU